AUUGAACGCUGGCGGCAGGCCUAACACAUGCAAGUCGAGCGGAUGAAGGGAGCUUGCUCCUGGAUUCAGCGGCGGACGGGUGAGUAAUGCCUAGGAAUCUGCCUGGUAGUGGGGGAUAACGUCCGGAAACGAGCGCUAAUACCGCAUACGUCCUGAGGGAGAAAGUGGGGGAUCUUCGGACCUCACGCUAUCAGAUGAGCCCAGGUCGGAUUAGCUAGUUGGUGGGGUAAAGGCCUACCAAGGCGACGAUCCGUAACUGGUCUGAGAGGAUGAUCAGUCACACUGGAACUGAGACACGGUCCAGACUCCUACGGGAGGCAGCAGUGGGGAAUAUUGGACAAUGGGCGAAAGCCUGAUCCAGCCAUGCCGCGUGUGUGAAGAAGGUCUUCGGAUUGUAAAGCACUUUAAGUUGGGAGGAAGGGCAGUAAGUUAAUACCUUGCUGUUUUGACGUUACCAACAGAAUAAGCACCGGCUAACUUCGUG
rnacentral:rRNA from 1 species